rnacentral:rRNA from 1 species
CCCGGGAGUGCGGCAGCCUACACAUGCAAGUCGAACGAAGCCUUCGGGCUUAGUGGCGCACGGGUGCGUAACGCGUGGGAAUCUGCCCCUCGCUUCGGAAUAACAGUUAGAAAUGACUGCUAGUACCGGAUGAAGUCUUCGGACCAAAGAUUUAUCGGCAAGGGAUGAGCCCGCGUAGGAUUAGGUAGUUGGUGGGGUAAAGGC